UACGGGGGGGGCAAGCGUUGUUCGGAAUUACUGGGCGUAAAGGGCUUGUAGGUGGCCAACUAAGUCAGACGUGAAAUCCCUCGGCUUAACCGGGGAACUGCGUCUGAUACUGGAUGGCUUGAGUUCGGGAGAGGGAUGCGGAAUUCCUGGUGUAGCGGUGAAAUGCGUAGAUAUCAGGAGGAACACCGGUGGCGAAGGCGGCGUCCUGGACCAACACUGACACUGAAAAGCGAAAGCCAGGGGAGCAAACGGG
rnacentral:rRNA from 1 species